CAAUAGCGUAUAUUAAAGUUGUUGCAGUUAAAAAGCUCGUAGUUGGAUUUCUGGUAGGAGCGACCGUGCCGAACUUGAUUGUUCGAGUAUUGUGUUGUCUUCAGCCAUCCUCGUGGAGAACUUUUCUAACAUUAACUUGUUGGGAUUGGGACCCGCGUCGUUUACUGUGAAAAAAUUAGAGUGUUUAAAGCAGGCAUUAGCUUGAAUACAUUAGCAUGGAAUAAUAAGAUAGGACUUUGGUACUAUUUUGUUGGUUUGCAUACCAAAUUAAUGAUCAACAGGAACAGUUUGAGGAUAUUCGUAUGAACAUGUCAGAGGUGAAGUUCUUGGAUUUUGAUCAGACGAACUACUGCGAAAGCAUUUAUCAAGGAUGUUUUCAUUAA
rnacentral:rRNA from 1 species